GCAUUCCUUUAGAAUAGGCGCAGCUACUUCCGCUGCUAAUCAAGGUGUCUCAUCCUCAUCCCUGCAACAACUCGGACGGUGGUCCUCCUCCGCUUUCUCAUCCUACAUUCGCCCUGACCUCAAUGCCGUGCUGGCUAUCCAAAGGUCUCUCCAACCUUAAAUUGAUUUCCACUGCAUCCCACAAGCUGUCUUCCAGGUGUCAACGCGCAACCCUCCUCCACC